rnacentral:rRNA from 1 species
CCGCGGGAGGGAUGACGGCCUUCGGGUUGUAAACCUCUUUCAGUAGGGAAGAAGCGAAAGUGACGGUACCUACAGAAGAAGCACCGGCUAACUACGUGCCAGCAGCCGCGGUAAUACGUAGGGUGCGAGCGUUAUCCGGAAUUAUUGGGCGUAAAGAGCUCGUAGGCGGUUUGUCGCGUCUGUCGUGAAAGUCCGGGGCUUAACCCCGGAUCUGCGGUGGGUACGGGCCGACUAAAGUGCAGUACGG